AACGAAUCUUCGGCAAUGCGCGCAAGCGUGACCGAGCGACGCCGCGUGGAGGAUGAAGUCCUUCGGGAUGUAAACUCCUGUCAGGGGUUACCAAGUUCUGAGGAGCCCCAGAGGAAGUGGCGGCUAACUCUGUGCCAGCAGCCGCGGUAAGACAGAGGCCACAAGCGUUAGGCGGAAUCACUGGGCUUAAAGCGUGUGUAGGCGGAUCGUUAAGUGCUUUGUGAAAUCCCUCGGCUCAACCGGGGAACUGCUUGGCAUACUGGCGAUCUUGAGCCAUCUAGGGGCGACUGGAACAGACGGUGGAGCGGUGAAAUGCGUAGAUAUCGUCUGGAACGCCAAAGGUGAAAACAGGUCGCUGGGGAUGAGCUGACGCUGAGACACGAAAGCCAGGGGAGCAAACG
rnacentral:rRNA from 1 species